GGAAGGAUCAUUAACGAAAUGUUUUGUCGAGAAGGGUUGCUGCUGGCCUCUCGGGGCAUGUGCACGCCCGGAUCGCAAUCCACCUCUCACACCUGUGCACAACCUGUAGCCUUGGAGAUGCUAACGUGGAGUGUGGGCCCUCUGGGCCUUCGCCUCGCGGAUGCUCUGGGGCUAUGAAUCUUUUUACAAACAAUACAACGUAUCAGAACGUAGAAGCUUGUAGCGCCUUCAUAAGCGUGAAUAAAAUACAACUUUCAGCAACGGAUCUCUUGGCUCUCGCAUCGAUGAAGAACGCAGCGAAAUGCGAUAAGUAAUGUGAAUUGCAGAAUUCAGUGAAUCAUCGAAUCUUUGAACGCACCUUGCGCUCCUUGGUAUUCCGAGGAGCAUGCCUGUUUGAGUGUCAUGAAACUCUCAACUGCCCCGGGUUUUUCGAAGCUCGAGGUGAAGUUGGACUUGGAGGAUAUUUGCUGGCGCCCCCGUGGCUUGUCGGCUCCUCUUGAAUGCAUGUGCUUUUCCGAUCGGCAAAGCGACUCCGAUGUGAUAACUAUCUACGUCGGUCUGUCCUGCCUUCAUUGCGGAUGGCCUUAUGUCUUCUAACAAGGAGAAACUUGACAAAUUCGACCUCAAAUCAGGUAGGACUACCCGCUGAACUUAAGCAUAUCAAUAAGCGGAGGAAAAGAAACUAACAAGGAUUCCCCUAGUAACUGCGAGUGAAGCGGGAAAAGCUCAAAUUUAAAAUCUGGCGUGCCUCUGGUCGUCCGAGUUGUAGUCUGGAGAAGCGUCUUCCGCGCUGGACCGUGUACAAGUCCCUUGGAACAGGGCGUCAUAGAGGGUGAGAAUCCCGUCUUUGACACGGACUACCAGUGCUCUGUGAUGCGCUCUCAAAGAGUCGAGUUGUUUGGGAAUGCAGCUCAAAACGGGUGGUAAAUUCCAUCUAAAGCUAAAUAUUGGCGAGAGACCGAUAGCGAACAAGUACCGUGAAGGAAA
rnacentral:rRNA from 1 species